UCUCUUUCAAUCUCACGUGUCCCUUUUCUCUAUCUCUCUCAAUCUCCCGUGCCCCUUGUCUCUCUCUCUCUCUCCAUCUUAUUCUUCUCAUCUUCAGUAGCAGAACCGCCAUCAUCACAAGACAGGGUAGCGCCCAUCUCCAUCAGAUCAGAGAAGACGACCAGGUCAGAAGGGUAUUGGCAACAAGGGCUGAUUACGAUGGAGAUGGAAAGAAGAAAGGUUGAAGAAGAUCACCAAGUCAAAGCGGAUGAAGCUCCUUAAGUUCGUGUCAGAUGAGAUCUUCGCAAAGAAGAAGAAUUAGAACAUUUAAACACCACAAUUUCAUCAAGGAACGCAAGUGAGACUCAAACAAAUGAGAUGGAGAAGGGGCCUAGUAGCACGUGCUAUCCUCGUACAGUUGUAGGAAAACAAGCAAAGGCCAGCUGGUGGUUGAACUAAAAAUCAGGCUAGCCUGCUUAUCAGGUGAGCGACAAGCUUAUAUUGAAUGUCAAUCAAUAGUUAUUUUCUUUGCAAACUUUUCAUUUUUGUGCUAUAAAUGUGGCACAACCAAUGUAAGUGGAGUGUUUGGCAUCCAAGUUGCAACUUAACAAACUUUGAAUGUCUACAAAUCUAUGGUUGUCUCCAUUUUUAAAGGGGAUGCGAGAAGGAGAAAGACGACGAUUGGCACAAGCUUGCACACAUCUCAUACAUUCAAAUUGGAUGGCCACCCGAUUUUGCAACCAUGGUGUCACUGAAGUUGCAAAAGCGCUUGGCCUUUAGUGUUCUCAAGUGUGGCAAGGGCAAGGUCUGGAUUGAUCCAAAUGAAGCUAGCGAGAUCUCAAUGUCAAAUUCCAAUGUCUCAUUUUCUUUUUAUUUACUCAUUUAAUUUUGGUGGAUAUUUUAAAUUGACAGGUGAAUGGUUAACCUUGCUUGACAAAUCAAGAAACUUAGGUUGA